rnacentral:pre_miRNA from 1 species
CAACUACUCCCUCUGUCCCAAAUUUCUUGUCUUAGAUUUGUCUAGAUACGGAUGUAUCAAGUCACGUUUUAGUAUUAGAUACAUCCGUAUCUAGACAAAUCUAAGACAAGAAAUUUGGGACAGAGGGAGUAGUUG